UCAAUAAGCGGAGGAAAAGAAACCAACAGGGAUUGCCCCAGUAACGGCGAGUGAAGCGGCAAAAGCUCAAUUUUGAAAUCCCCUCCCUCGUGGCGGGGAGUUGUAAUUUGAAGACCUGGGGAUUUGGCCCAAGCCUGCGCAAGUCCAUUGGAACAUGGCGCCCAAGAGGGUGAGAGCCCCGUCGCGCAGGCCCGCAGCCUUGACAUCCCCUUGUCAAAGAGUCGAGUUGUUUGGGAAUGCAGCUCAAAGUGGGUGGUAAAUUCCAUCUAAAGCUAAAUAUUGGCGAGAGACCGAUAGCGAACAAGUACAGUGAUGGAAAGAUGAAAAGCACUUUGAAAAGAGAGUGAAACAGUACGUGAAAUUGUUGAAAGGGAAGGGCUUGCAAGCAGACACGAGUUCGCUCGGGCCAGCAUCAAUUUCGCGAGGUGGACAACACGCCAGGAAUGUGGCAGGCUCCGGCCUGUGUUAUAGCCUGCGCGCCAUACACCUCCGCGAGAUUGAGGCCUGCUCCAAAAGGAUGCUGGCGUAAUGGUUGCAAGUCGCCCGUCUUGAAACACGGAC
rnacentral:rRNA from 1 species